GUAGCUUUGCAAGACUCCAGAUGGUAGGGGAUAAUACCAUGUCUGGUACCCAAUUAGUCACUUCCAGAAUUUCAAGAUUGCAGAGGUUUGAAAAUGACGGAGGGAGGGCUUUUGCCUUCAUCUCAAUCCUUAAGCACCUCAAAUGAACAAGCAUCCCUAUUUCAUUCAGCACAGUAUCUGUCAAAGUUUCCUUUUCUGUCAAUCGUACUCUCCCCAGAUCCAACCUUUUAAGAAGCCUCAAGUGUCUUAGGUGACAGUUAUAGGGAAGGUAGUUACAUUUCAAAGAGAGUAGGUGCUUAACAUAAGGAUUUCUCUUUUUUGGACUAAAAAAGGAAGAGGUAUCACCAGAAUGACGGCGUUUAUCAUAAAUAAUGGUCCGUCUACGCAGCAUCAGAUCUGAAGAAAAGGAUGAAGACAGAACAACUGAGCUCGUCAAAUCAAACAGUUUUUCCUUUCUAGCUUUUAUUGAACAAAAAUCAUGCACAAGAUCAUGAAUUUGGCAACUCUGUUCGCUACCACCUUUCACUAUUACCAAGCUACUAGAAAUUAACUCAUCCACAUAAACCUCUGUCACUUCUUCCACACUCUUCAAAUCACUUGGUUCCACAAGUCCUUCAUCACUCCAUAAAUCUUUCAGCCAACAGAUAUAAAUAUCUUCGUCCUUUGGAUAACUUGCAAGGUACAGAAAGCAUGGCUUUAUGUGAUCUGACAAGUGGUCAUAACUUAAUUGUAUAACCUUCAUCACUUCCUCUUCAUCCUUAAAAAUAAAGGAACUCAAAUUAUUGAGAACUUCAAGCCACAAAGCCUCUUUCUUUUCCUUCCUUGAAAUAACUCCGCUGAUCAAAUCAAGUACCAAAGGAAGCCCACCACACUUUUGGGCUAUUUUUUCUCCAACAUCCUUUAGUUCAUUAGGGCAAUGUUCUUCUCCGAAUACCCUUUUCUCUAACAACUCCCAACUUUCUUCUGGUCUUAGCAAUCGAAGAUCAAGAGGAUCACUGUGGCAUUUUCCAUGCAAAGCCACUUCCUUUUUUCGACUUGUUAAAAUAACUCUGCUUCCUUUCUGAAAUUCAGUUGGAAUGGCAUAUAAUGGCCUUGUUAGCUCAUCCCAUGUUGCAGUAUCCCACAAGUCAUCCAAGACAAUAAGGUACCUCUUUCCAAACAGAUGUUUCCGUAGCUUAUCAGCAACAUCAUCGUCUAUGUCAUCCUCACUGACUCUUUCUUUCAAACCAAUUUCAUUGAAAAUUUUUUGCAACAACUUUUUCUCAUUACGUUCCUGGUCGACUGUGCACCAAGCACGAAUGUCAAAAUGACCAACAACAGACUUAUCAUUAAAUACUCUGUAAGCCAAAGUAGUUUUUCCAAGCCCCGGCAUGCCGACUAUGGAAAUGACAUCUACCUCAGAUGGUCCGCUGGUGAGCUUCCUAAUUAUCCACUCUGUCUCCUCCUCAAAACCUACAAUUAUUUUACUAGCUGUUGAUGACUUGUUUUCAACUGGCUUGUUAGGAGAGUUUGCAAAAAUGAUACACGUGUUCUUGGAGAUCUUCUCUUGUAACUCUUUUUUGACAAGCUUGAUCUUUUCUACGGUAUCAGGAAGUAAGAAGAUAAGCUGCAAGAGACCUUGAUCUCUGGCAAGAAUUGAGUUAAUGGCAUGUUCCGCCUGAUAUGCCACAUCUAGAACACGAGUCCAAAGAUCUCUAUACAAUACUUGCUCCACAUUCCCGAAGAAUGAUCUUAUGUGUUCUAGGUGUUCUUUCACCCGACCAAUUUCUUCUUUUAUCAAAACAACUGAAUAAGCAUUGGAAUUGAGCAAGUCAUUUAAAUGUCUAAAUAGAAGAGUCAUGAAGAGCUGUCCAUCACUCAUGGGGAAGCAGAGCUGAGAUGAGUCUGCAGGCGCUUUCAAGAAAACAUUCUUGAGAUCUUUUCUCAGGAGUUCAAUAUUUUCCAACAAGUUCAGACUCGCACCACGUGUUUCCUUGAUAUUCUUUUCUAAGUUGUGAACAAUAAUGGAUACCUCCUUGGUAAGUGCUCCAACACGUUCCAAGAGAACAAACAAUUUUUCAUGAUGAAUAACGUCCAUGGGCACAUCAGUAAGAAUAAUCAAUAGGAACUCUAUCACGACAUGAAUGUUUCGAGCUGAGGUGCUAGGAGCAAUAGCAUUAAUCAUGUGUCGUUGUAGAUGAAUCAGAUAUUCUCUAAGAACGUCUGGAGAGGCUUCUAGGAGCUUCUUAAUGAAGCAUCCAACUUCUUCUGACUUUGCAGCUUUCAAAUUUGUAGAACAUAUGUACAUAACCUCCAGUGAAACCGGAAUUAUCUUCAAAAGUAGAUGGACUAGCAUGGAAUUGACUUCAAUGAUCCUCUUCAUCUGCUUGGUCCGUUUCAUAUCCUCCACUGCAUAAGCUAAAAGGCUUGUACAGAAGUGACCUACUCUUUCAGCCAUAAGUUGAAACUGCGGUAAGGCGUAUUCAAUUGUCUUACGCUCAAUGCAACCAUUUACUUUCAGCCCAUGGAAAUCCCUUAAGUUGCCAAAUACAUUCUGAAGAAGCUCAUAUUGAGUCAUUGAUGGUAAAAUCAACUCAGCACGAACCUUGGGUAGAUAAUGGAGAUUCACAAUGAGUGCGUCCAAAAGUUCAACCAACUGACCCUCAGUAAUGGUGGCACUUGAUUCAGAUUGAUGAUCUGAGACGACACAACUUUUGAUAUUCUUAAGGAGGCGAGGAAUGACGUGAUCCUUUAAUUUAACCAGCAUGUCAUCUCCACUCUGAUGAAAAAGUGACUGAACCAGACCAUGAACCUCAUAUGAUAUGCAAGACAUUUUGGUAUUAGAACCAUCCGAAAUGUAAUAACAAAGCUGUAAACAUGCCAACAAAAAUAUCAGCUUUUCAAGAACAGUUUGAUCCUGUUCAAUCUUUAACCUCUCUAUGAAAUCAUGAAGAUUGACAAUGUCCUCACGAAGCAAAGCAGAUGAGACCUGCUAUGAGACCAAAAGUGUAUCUAACUUUUCAGUGCAACAUAUUUGCCGUGACAAAUUUUACUCUAAUUAAACAGAAUAAUCUUUCUACUUUGGGGUAAGUGUGAGUCUACUACAGGUAUAUUAUCAACAGACUACCUUCCGCCACACUAUAUUAGGGUUGAGUUAGGUCUGAGUGACAAAUCGUUAUAAGCAUUAUUUUGCACAUCAAACCCAACGAUAAAAAGACGUGUUACCCAAUAUGAAUCCCUACCCUUAAAACAACUUAACCCCAUGAAAAAAAAUCAUUUUUCUUCUAUAAAACUACAUGAAACUUUUCUUUUAUUCAAGAUGGUUAACAGGUUGAAGUGGAUUAAGCACCUUAAUGAAAAGAACAUACUUAUAAGACUAAAUUAAUCAUUUCCAAAUGAAAACAAAUAUAAACGGAUGUUUUAUGACAUACCGAUGAGCUGUUUGCUUCCCGGCUUUCCCUUUGUCCUUUUCCUUUUUCUGUUUCCAUGUAUGUAGUCUGUUUUCACUAGUCAAGCCAAACUAGUUUUUCGUUUCAAGUUGUCAAGAUCUGAUCAUGUAUAAAAAGUACAAAAACCUUUAUCAGAACACAAGAAACUCAAGAAUUUGGCUGUAGCCAGACAACAUCUGCUAUAUUAUAUGCUCUCCGUAGCUAGCUAAAAUUAUACAGACAAACAACAUCGUUAUAAAGAGAUUUGAUUGUAUUAUUUUGUUUAUGCAUCUAUUCAAAGCCUUGUAAUUAAGAUUUCAGAGAUAAACUUUGAAUCAUAUAUUCAAGAUGGCGCAAGAAAUAAUUUCAAAAUAAAAUGGGUUGAAUAAAUACAAUCAUACCUUUAAAUUUCAGCAAACCAGCCAAGAUUAAGUUGUGUGAAAUUGUAAAAGAUGGGAUUGAGACAGAAGUUGAAGUAAAUAACUAAAGAGGAACUUCAACAAUAGAAAGAAGAAUCAAACACAAAUUCAAAAUAUUACAUAAUAGUAAUGUUGUUGAGAUUAGACCACUAAGGGAUUGAUUAAUUUGGAUUGCUUUUUGAUUAUUAAAUUGACUCAAGAUUAUGGGAAAACAAAAAUGUCCAAGUCACAAAUCAACUUUAAUAAUAGAGAAUGAAUGUCCCACUACUUUAAUUAUGUCCAAUGAUUAAACAGAAAGACAUAAGUUACCCCGCUUAGUUUUCAACUUUUUUUUUUUAACACCUUUACACCUGUCAUAUUGGGUCAUUUGAUACUUCGGAUAAAAAUAACAAUUUCGAAAUUAUUAUGGAAAUUAAUGGAGUCCAUGUAUAUUGGCAUUUAUGGUUAAAUGCUUCAUUUAUUAAUUAUUAAAAAUAAUUUUUAUUUGGCUAUAAAUAGCCUUGUACAUGGAAGAUAAUAUGCAAGUAACAAGAAAAUAUUACUACAAAGUUUCCUCUCUAGUUUAUUUUUUUUUAUAAUUUUAUAUCACGUUAUCAGCAUAAGGCUCUAACCAAUACAAGCAAAUACAAAUAAUAAAGGUUAGUAUUUUAUUUUCUUAAAUUCUGGCUAAUACUUCCAGACGCAAUUUUAGUGCCCUAGACAUAUCUAGUAAAACUUAUAUGUCCUAGGCACUAGACGCAGAAAUACAUUUAAAUGCAAUGGGUCUAGCAGACACUAUUAAAAAGGAUAAUAAGGCAUCUGAUCAGGACAAGGCUAAGGCCAUGAUAUUUCUUCGUCAUCAUCCUAACGAAGGGUUAAAAAUGGAAUACCUCACGAUUAAAGAUCCCCCCAUAUUGUGGAAUAAUUUAAAGGAAAGAUAUGACCACCUGAAAUUGGGCAUACUCCCAUAAGCUCGUGAUGAUUGGACCUAUUUAAGGUUCCAGGACUUUAAAAAUGUUACUGAAUAUAAUUCUGCGAUGUUUAGAAUUCAAUCGCAGUUUGACUUGUGCGGGGAAAAGAUCACAGACCACCAGAUGAUAGAGAAAACUCUUUCUACUUUUCACUCCUCGAGUAUGGUCCUGCAGUAGUACCGAGAAAUGGAUUUCAAAAAGUAUUCUGAAUUAAUUGGUCAUCUUCUUAUUGCUGAACAAUAUAAUGAUCUUUUAAUAAAAAAUAAUGAAACUUGACCUCUUGGUAAUGCUCCAUUUCCAGAGGUGAAUGCUGCAAAUUUUUACCCGACUUGGCGUGAAAGAAAUCCUGACCCUAGUCGUGAUCGAGGUCGAGGUCGAGGUCGUGGUCGUGGUCAUGGUCAUGGCAGGUAUUUCAAUCAGGAUAAUCGUCUUGCCAUUUUACCCGACUUGGCGUGAAAGAAAUCCUGACCCUAGUCGUGAUCGAGGUCGAGGUCGAGGUCGUGGUCGUGGUCGUGGUCGUGGUCAUGGUCAUGGCAGGUAUUUCAAUCAGGAUAAUCGUCUUGCCAUAAUAAUAACCCUCAGCACCAGCAGUGCAAAAAGAGGGGCAAAGCUCCUGAAGAAACGCCAAGGACGAACCCUGAUAAUAGAUGUUAUCAAUGUGGAGGAAAGGGGCACUGGGAGCAUGCCUGUCAUACAUCUAAGCAUCUGGUAAAACUAUAUCAGGCGUCACUUAAAAAGACAGAAAAUAAUGCUGAAACAAACUUCCUCCUAGAAGAUAACAUUGAGCCCAUGCACUUGAAUGUUUCAGAUUUCAUUCCUGAAGAACAAGUAAAUCACCCUAUAGGUGACAAUAAUGACAAUCCGAUUAUGUUAAUUUUCUGUUUAAGUUAGUUUACGUUUUUAUUAUUAAUAUUUUACUAAUCUUGUAUAUAAAUAAUGUUUAUAUAACAUAUUUUGUGCUAGUGCCAUAGUAUAGUAUAGUAUAGUAUAGUAUAGUAUAGUAUAGUAUAGUAUAGUAUAGUAUAGUAUUAUGAUCAAUAAGUAAUUUUGGUUUUGUAGUACGCCCAUAAAUUUUAACAGUAUGAGCCAUUUAUAUAAUUUUACAGUACAUAAAUUAUGAUAACGUUAUGGCUAGAAUUAUUUAUUGCAGUAGUGAAAUAUUCAUAGAAGACAUAUUAUGAAAUUAACAUGAGUAGCCAAUAAAUCAUGUUAUUGCAUAUAAUAUUACAUUUGUGUACUUUAGAUUCAUUUGGUUAGUAAUAGCAAAACUAUUAUGUAGUAAAGAUGUUAAUUGUUUAGAAUGCAGCUGCAAUUAAAAUAUGGAUAUAAAAUAAAAUAAGGUGUAAAUGCAUCAUAUUAUGUGCUAUAUGGCUACUCCUCAAGUCUUAUUUGGAUCAAUAAUUGAUCAUGAUGAUAUUUGAGUAAUUGAUAGUGGGACAACGCAUGCAAUAUUUAAAGAUGAAAAAUACUUUUUUCACUUACUCAGAAAAAGAGAAAAUGUUACAACAAUUGCUGGUAAUUCAAAAAUGAUCGAAGGCUCCGGAAGAGCUAAUAUAUUUCUUCCCAAGGGGAAAAAGUUAAUUAUAGAAGAUGCAUUGUUCUCUUCUAAAUCCCCAAGAAAUUUAUUGAGUUUAAAGUUAUUCGCAGAAAUGGAUAUCGUGUUGAGACAAUACAUGAAAUGAAUGCCGAAUAUUUUGGCAUUACAAAGAAUGUCUUAGGUCAAAAACAAAUGUUGGAGAAAUUACCAACUUUGUCUUCCGGCUUAUACUAUACCAAAAUUAGUACAAUUGAAGAACACUUUAUUGUAAACAAGAAGUUUACUGAUAUAAUUAUAUUUGUGCUCUAGCAUGAUCAAAUAGGCCAUCCUGAAUCAAUAAUCAUGAGAUGAAUUAUUGAAAAUUCAAAAGGGCAUUCGUUAAAGAACCUGAAGAUUCUUACAUCGGAUGAAUUUUCAUGUGCUGCUUGUUAUCAAGGUAAACUGAUAAAUAGACCAUCGCCAUUGAAAGUUAGCGUCGAAUCCCCUCAGUUUCUGAAACGUAUACAUAGGGAUAUAUGUGGGCCUAUUCACCCACCUAGUGGGACAUUUAGAUAUUUUAUGGUCCUAAUAGACGUAUCUUCAAGAUGGUCGCAUAUGUGUCUAUUGUCAUUUCGCAACCUGGAGUUUGUGAAAUUAUUGACACAAAUAAUAAGAUUAAGGGCGCAGUUCCCAGAUUAUCCUAUUAAGGCUAUUCACCUAGAUAAUGCUAGAGAAUUUACACCUCAAGCUUUUGAUGAUUAUUAUAUGUCGGUUGAGAUAAAAGUUGAACAUCAUGUUGCUCAUGUUCAUACUCAAAAUGGUCUUGCUAAGUUAUUUAUUAAGCACCUACAAUUGAUAGCAAGAAAACUGCUUAUGAAAACAAAAUUGCCUACUACUAUUUGGGGUCGUGCUAUCUUACAUGCAGUAUCACUUAUUCAUCUCAGGACAACUCAUUAUAAUAAAUACUCCUCGUUUCAAUUGGUUCUGGGUCAUGAACCAAAUAUUUCCCAUCUACAAAUUUUUGGAUGCGCUGUAUAUGUUCUUGUUGCACCACCUCAGCGUACUAAGAUAGGCCCCCAGAGAAGGUUAGGAAUAUAUGUAGGGUUUGAGUCACCCUCUAUAAUUCGCUACCUUGAACCAUUGACAGAAGAUUUAUUUAAUGCUCGAUUUGCAGAUUGUAGAUUUGAUGAAACAAAUUUCCCGCAAUUAAGGGGAGAAAAAUGUGACCUUAAAAGAGAAAUUGCGUGGAAAAUUUCAUCAUUAUCUCAUUUUGAUCCACGUACCCCCAUAUGUGAAAGAGAGAUCCGGAAGAUCAUUCACUUGUAGAAAUUAGCAAAUCAACUGUCAGAUGCAUUUACUGAUUUGAAAAGGAUAACCAAGUCACAUAUUCCUGCAGUGAAUGUACCUGUCCGAAUUGAAGUUCUAAAAGAACUAUCUUCUAAUGUAAUAUCUUCUGAAUCCCAAACAAGCCUAAAGCGUGGCAGGCCAUUGGGUUCAAAGGAUAAAAAUCCUAGAAAAAGAAGCACGAAAAAUGAUAAAGAUAGUUUUGUAAAAGAUUCUCCUGAAGAGACUCAAAAUCUGAUUAAUCUGAUAUUCCUGAAGAAAUUAGUGAACCUGAGACUCAAGUGAAUGAAGAACUUUUAAUAAGUUCUACUAAUGAUAAGGUAAAUUUAGAUCAAUCGAAAAUUAUAGUGGAUAAUGUUUUUGCAUAUAAUGUUGCACUAAACAUCAUGCAAGAUAAUGAGGACCUUGAACCUCUAUCUGUCGAAGAAUGUCGACAAAGGAAAGAUUGGCAAAAAUGACAAGAGGCAAUUCAAUUUGAAUUGAACUCUCUUGCUAAACGGGAGGUUUUUAGACCUGUAGUCCAAACCCCAAAUGAUAUAAAGCCAGUUGGCUAUAAAUGGGUCUUCAUAUGUAAAAGAAAUGAGAAAAAUGAAAUUGUAAGAUAUGAGGCACGCCUUGUUGCACAAGGAUUUUCUCAAAGACCCGGUAUUGACUAGGAAGAAACAUAUUCACCCGUCAUGGAUGGAAUAACGUUUAGAUACCUCAUGGGUCUAGCUGUACAUGAAAAUCUUAAAAUCCAUCUAAUGGAUGUGGUUACAGCUUAUCUUUAUGGUUCACUUGAUAACGAUAUUUAUAUAAAAAUUCCAGAAGGAUUAAAAUUGCUAGAAGCAUAUAGUUCAAAGUCUCGGGGAUUAUAUUCAAUUAGAUUACAAAGAUCGUUGUAUGGUCUAAAAUAAUCAGGGCGGAUAUGGUAUAAUAGCCUAAGUGAGUACUUGAAAAAUGAAGGAUACAUAAAUGAUGUUAUUUGUCCUUGUAUUUUUAUUAAGAAAAUGGUGUCAAGGUUUGUUAUACUCCCCGUUUAUGUGGAUGAUAUAAAGCUCAUCGGGACUCCAGAAGAGGUCCAAAAGGCAAUCGAAUAUCUAAAGAAAGAAUUUGAAAUGAAAGAUCUUGAAAAGAUAAAACUUUGUCUUGGUCUGCAAAUCUAACAAUUAGAAGAUGAAGUAUUCAUCCACCAAACUACCUAUACCCAGAAGGUAUUGAAAUGAUUUUACAUGGACAAAGCAUAUCCAUUAAGUACCUCAAUGGUUUUUCGAUCACUUAAAGUGAGCAAAGAUACUUUCCGACUUCUGGUAAAGGAUUAAGAGAUUCUUGAUCCUGAAGUACUAUAUCUCAGCGCUAUUGGUGCACUUAUGUACCUCGUUAAUGCUACAAGACCGGAUAUAGCAUUUUCUGUUAAUUUGCUAGCGAGGUAUAGUUCUUUCCCUACGCAAAGACAUUGAAACGGAGUUAAGCAUAUAUUGAGGUACCUAAAAGAGACUAUUGAUAUGGGUCUAUUUUAUACUAACAAAACUUGUCCAGAUCUAGUUGGUUAUGCAGAUGCAGGUUAUUUAUCUAAUCCACAUAAAGCACGGUCCCAAACAGGCUAUGCGUUACAUAUGGAGGUACUGCAAUAUCAUGGCGAUCGACAAAGCAGUCCAUCAUUGCUACUUCUUCUAAUCAUGUGGAGAUAAUAGCAAUUCAUGAAGUAAGUAGAGAAUGCAUUUGGCUGAGAUCAGUAGUACAUUCCAUAAAAGAGAGAUGUGGUCUGAAGCUUGAUAUCAAUGUAACUACAGUCAUAUUUGAAGAUAAUGCAGCAUGCAUAACUCAACUAAAAGGAGGCUUUAUAAAGAAAGAUGGAACGAAACACAUUUCGCCAAUGUUAUUCUUCACACAUGACCUUUAGAAGAAUGGUGAUAUUGAUGUGCAACAGAUCUGUUCCUGUGACAAUCCAGCAGAUUUGUUCAUCAAAUAUUUACCAACUUCAACCUUUGAGAAGAUGGUAUACAAGAUUGGGAUGCGAAGACUAAAUCAGUUGAAUCGAGGUCUUCAUCAGGGGGAGUGAGAAUACGCGUUGUACUCUUUUUCCUUAACCAAGGUUUUUAUCCCACUGGGUUUUUCCUGGUAAGAUUUUUAAUGAGGUAGCAUUCAAAUGCAUAUUCAAUGAAAGUUUUCUUUACAUGGAUAUCCAAGGAGGAGUAUUAUGGAAAUUAAUGGAGUUCAUGUAUAUUGGCACAAAGCCAACCACAGUAAGGACUCGUUUGGUACGCUGUAUUAAAUGAAAUAAUCCAUGGAUUGAAAUUUAGUCCAACCACGUAUAAUAUUUGGUUGCCCAAUUUGAAUCUAACCCCACCUAAUACAUGGAUAGCUAAUACACCAUAGAGUGUAUUAGCUUAUACCUAAGAAAUCAUGGGAUUACUUAUUUAUGGCUUAAUAAUACAUGGAUAAGAGAAUUAAAUGACUCAACUACCCCUCAAUUCUUUUUAUUAAAUUUUUCUUUUAGUUCCAUUUUAAAUUUAAUCACUACAAAUUUGGUUGUUAUGUUACAUUUAAUUUUCCAACCUCUUUUUACUUUGGUAUGCGAAUCAAGUGCUUAAAUAUCAUUUACUCCCUUAUGUAGGUUGAUAGCUUUGAAUGUGAACUACAUUUUUGUUAUUUUGUAUUUGUUCAAUUUACAGACAGAUUAAUUUAAAUAGAAAAGAUUAUUGUCAAAUAAAUAUAUAAUUUGAAAAUCUAAAAAUACAUUAUCAACGGUCUGUGAUGUUCUUACAUAGUGUGCUUUACAUUUUUGAAAAAUUAUUUCUCUAUAAUAUGACAAUUAUUUAUUUUUUUAAUUUUUUCUUGAUUAAAUAGACUCAAUUUUUUAAAAGAAAUAAAUGAUCAACUAAGCGGAGUGAGAAUUAUUAUUCAUAUUUUAGCUUUUCUAUAAGAUCGCGCAAAGGGCGAGCAACUUGACUAGUUAAAUGAAGUAGAAAAUCUCAUAAAAAUUUAAGGGUAUAAUUAUAAAGAAGCUUUUGUAGAGUUUUAAAAUACAUGAUAUAUCUACUUUUUUUAUACAAUGAACCAAUAAAAAAUAAUCCCUGUAUUACUAAUCCUUGCAUUACUAAUUCCUAUAUUACUAAUCUCAAUAUUGUUAAUCCAUGGAUAACUUCUCUUUGUACCAAAUGACCCCUAAGUGGUUAAAAUUGGUAAUGCUCCUUUUAUGGUUAAAUGCUCCAUUUAUUAAUUAUUAAAAAUCAUCUUUAUUUGACUAUAAAUAGCGUUGUACAUGGAAGAUAAUAUGCAAGUAAGAAGAAAAUAUUACUACAAAGUUUCCUCUCUAGUUUAUCUUUCUUUCUUAUAAUUUCAUAUCAGAAAUAAAAUUUGAUAUUAAACCUAUUUCAUAUUUGAUUCUAGGUAUUAGCUAAUCUAGGAAUUAUGUCUGGUGUUCAAUAACAUUUUUGGGUUUCAUUAAUUCAGACUUCAUCUACCAGCCAUUUAAAAGGUGAAACAUAAAAUUAUUUUUCUCAUCCCAAAAGAUUAUGAAACAAAAAAUGACUCAAGAGUCAAGAGACCUAAUUUAAUAAUACAUAGUUGGAUUUUAUAGAAUGUAAUGUCCCACUCAUAGUGCAGAGGGACUACUUUAAUCUUCACAUGAUUUGAUGUUUAAAAUUAUAAAUUGUAUUAGAAAAUGUAGUGUGAGUACAUUAUUAGAUUUUCGCUAAUUAUACCCAUUGAUUAAAGGAAAAAGACAAAAGUUUUCUACUUUUUCUAACACCUUUACACCCAGACCAAAUAGGAAUCUUAUCUAAUCAGACUAUAGAAAAAGUGGAAACUAAUGAUACUAUCCCAUAUAAAAGGCGGGUAAAAUAAUGUCAUUAGAUACCCUUAUUCCAUUCCGCGUACAAGACUACCCUUAAAGUUGUUAGGAAACUAUAUGACUGUUUUCAACGUAUAUAAACUACACAUGCUUGAUGAAACUGAAGAUUACAGCUGCAACACUUUGCAAGAUCUAAUAAUACAUCAGAUCUCAUGGUACUGAAAAACAACAUAUUUUAGUAAAGAACACAGGUUGUGUCUGUCCAUUGCUAAAAUUGCUCACUUCCAAAAUCCAUUCAAGAAAAUACUAUUAGACAAGAAUUUCUUGACGUAUCAAACUUCUCAUACUAUUUCUAACGUUUAUUUGUUUGGUCUUUUGUGCUUCAAUCCAUUAAAGUCUCUAUACCCUUGUUGUAUUAUUUGCACUCCAUAUUGUCAAAUUUGUUUAUCAUUUUAUUCUCUUUCUUCCUCUGUCAGACUCCACAAAAUGCUACUAUAAUUGCUCUCUUAUGUGUUGAGUUUUGACGUACAUUUUCCUUUUCAUGAUUUGAACAAGUUGAGCAUCUGCUUACUCCUUGAAUAUGGCUUGUAUUUACCAUCGUUCAUAGCUAUGCCUUCUGGAUAAUUAUAUUCUUCAAGAUUAGUAGGUUCUGUGAUGAGUAGCACCGGAAUCGACCAUCCAUGGGUCUGUUGCAGCUUGGUUACCUGAUAGAAAAUUUACCUUUACCUCUAAAUGAUUGUGAGACUGUGACCUGCAAACAUUUGCAGUAUGACCCUGUCUGUUGCAUAGUUGACAGCGAACAGGGUUACUGGUGCAACGCCCCCAUGCAGGAGCACUUCUACGAUUGUUGGAACGCCAUUGUGAGUUGUUGGGACGACGAGCAGUGCGAUUGCAGGAAUUGGUGGAUCUGUUGUGAGUUGUAAUUGCACUGGUUUCUAUCUUCAAUUCCUCAUGUUUUAGAAAGAGCUCAUAAUCAAUUAGUUUCGAAUACAACUCAUCAUACAAGAUGAUGGAAUCUCUUUCUCAAUUUGCAGUGGAAAUUUCACGAAAUCUGAUACAAGGCCACUCAGAAUUUUCACUACCAACUCAUCGUUUGUGACUGUAGCACCGGCGAUGGCUAGUUCAUUGCAGAUGGAGCGCACUUGAUGGAGAUAAUCAGCAACUGGGAGGGAAUCCUUUGAUAGUCGCGUGAGCUGGUCGCAAAGGCUAAAAAUUUAGGCUACAGUUGCUAGGUGUAGGGAGUGCCAAACAAGUUUAGUAGUGGAGGCAGUAGCUACAGUUGCAUCAAUCGUCGGAUCUGACAGAAGCCAUUAUGGCAUUCUGGAUCAAUUGAUCUUGGUGGAACCAAACGCUAUAUGCUGGAUUCUCUAUUUCUCUACCAUUCUGCGUGGUAAUUGUCGAAGGAGUGGGAGAAUAGCCAUCAAGAUGGCCAAACAGAUAGUGCCCACACAUGAGCAUGAAAAUCUGUGCCUUCCAUGUAGAAAAGUUAUGGCUGCCAACAAGUUUUAUCAGCAGCCAGGAUACAGGAUUAAACUGAACAACAACGCUAGAGUUGCGUCCAUUGGUAGAGUCCGCGUUCUAUAUGUCCUAGACAUGUUAAAAGGAGUCUGUGGUGGUAGUCAAAAGAUCGAAAAAAAAAACUCUGGAGAAUUAAGAUGUCAUCUCUGAUACCAUGUAAUGAAUUGAGCAAGAUGAAGCAAAAAGAUGAAAAUCUUUUAUUAAUGGAUGAAGAACUGAUAUAUAUACACAAAAUAAAUAAUAGUGUCUCUGUGAAAGUGCUCCGCCUACGGUGGAAACAAAAUAAAUAAUAGUGUCUCUGUGAAAGUGCUCCGCCUACGGUGGAAACAAAAUAAAUAAUAGUGUCUCUGUGAAAGUGCUCCGCCUACGGUGGAAACAAAANNNNNNNNNNNNNNNNNNNNNNNNNNNNNNNNNNNNNNNNNNNNNNNNNNNNNNNNNNNNNNNNNNNNNNNNNNNNNNNNNNNNNNNNNNNNNAAGGCGGGGGGGGGGGGGGGGGCAACAUCGAAAACAAUGAACUGGGUGGGCCUGGAUCUGAAACCAUGUUAAAAUUGGUCUUGGACCUAACUUAUACCCCAAAAGCUAGCUCAUGAGGGGAGAAUUGCCCAAGACCAUAUGAGGAGACCAAGGACCCUUUAACCCACCGAGGUGGGACUCCAACAAACCUGUAACUAUGUACAGUGCAGUAACAACAUUCUAAUAAUAAUAGCACGGUAAAGAGUGAAAAGAAUCAAAAUAAUAUCAGUGGCAUACAUACGUACAUGACUGGCAACAAUGUUUUGAGGCAGAAAGAAGAUAAGAAGGUUAAGGGAAAUCAAACUUUAUCACUAAAAUUACAAAGCAACUAUCUAUUUCACACGACAUAUAUCAACUAGUUAUUUGACGUACAAAAAGUGUAUCCCUUUUUCUCAUCAUAUCAACUAAUAUAGUUCUUUCUAUAAAAUCAUGAAUUGACAACCAAUCAAGAACCGAGUACCUCAAGCUUGUCUUCUCCGACAAUUUCUUCAACAUAUUCCUUAAUCUUCAAUGCCGACUCUUUAAGCCGAGGGUUUUUCCACACUGAGAUUAACUUUAAUGAAGCAAUAUCUCCAAAACUCUCUGGGAUCUCUGUAAGCUCAUUACAAUAUUUUAUUUCUAAUUUCUCAGCAAGGAAAAGGAUUCAUCUACAAUAACCUACCAUUCAGAAAAAGACACAUCAUACAAUCUCAGCAAUUUGAGAUUCAGUGACUCGUUCCAUGUUCCAUUCGUUUCCAAAAUGGAUUCUUGCGCGUAUUAAGUCCAGCUUUUGAAGGUUGGGAAGUGAUCUCCCAAUUCUUGACAGUGCAUCUGAUGUCAGAUCAAACCCAUACAGUAUCACUUCUUUCAAGCUCAAAGGGAAGUGAAAAUCAAACUGAUAUGCAUGUGUAUGCAGAAAGCACUUAAAUGAAGCAUUAACACUUUCAAGUUUAUUAAGUACAUCCAAUCUUGGAAAAUAUAUCUGCUCUGCUGCUGAACAAUUGAUGUGGAAUUGAAGGUUUCGAAGAUUGGGAAACCUUUUGAAAAUAUCCUCAGAGUCUACCGAACAGGAAAGCUUGAGAAACUUUAAUGAUGUCAGAUUCUCUAACUUUGUUGGUUUGUCAAUAUCCGAAUCAAAGACAGAACAAGUUUUGAUGUCCACAUGUCGUAGCUUUGAAAGACUCCAGAUAGUAGGGGAUAAUACCAUGUUUGAUGAUCCAUUGUUUCUCACCUCCAGAGUUUCUAGAUUGCACAGAUUUGAAAAUGAUGGAGGGAGAGUUUUUGCCUGCAUCUGAAUCCUUAAGCACCUCAAAUGAACAAGCAUGCCUAUUUCAUUCAGAAAAGUUCCCUUUUCUGUCAAGAUUCUACCCGACAGAUCCAACCUUUUAAGA
rnacentral:lncRNA from 1 species